rfam:Ciona savignyi cont_33229, whole genome shotgun sequence.
GCUUAUCACCAUUCCAGAUUGAAUAUACCCGAUCUCGUUUGAUCUCGGAAGUCAAGCAAUCUCUGGCUUGGUUAGUACUUGGAUGGGUGACCGCUUGGGAAUACCAAGUGUGAUAAACA